rnacentral:rRNA from 1 species
GGCGUAAAGCGUCCGCAGGCGGCCCUUCAAGUCUGCUGUUAAAAAGUGGAGCUUAACUCCAUCAUGGCAGUGGAAACUGUUGGGCUUGAGUGUGGUAGGGGCAGAGGGAAUUCCCGAUGUAGCGGUGAAAUGCGUAGAUAUCGGGAAGAACACCAGUGGCGAAGGCGCUCUGCUGGGCCAUAACUGACGCUCAUGGACGAAAGCCAGGGGAGCGAAAGGGAUUAGAUACCCCUGUAGUCCUGGCCGUAAACGAUGAACACUAGGUGUCGGGGGAAUCGACCCCCUCGGUGUCGUAGCCAACGCGUUAAGUGUUCCGCCUGGGGAGUACGCACGCAAGUGUGAAACUCAAAGGAAUUGACGGGGGCCCGCACAAGCGGUGGAGUAUGUGGUUUAAUUCGAUGCAACGCGAAGAACCUUACCAGGGCUUGACAUCCUGCGAACCUCUGGGAAACCGGAGGGUGCCUUCGGGAACGCAGUGACAGGUGGUGCAUGGCUGUCGUCAGCUCGUGUCGUGAGAUGUUGGGUUAAGUCCCGCAACGAGCGCAACCCACGUCUUUAGUUGCCAGCAUUUAGUUGGGCACUCUAGAGAGACCGCCGGUGAUAAACCGGAGGAAGGUGUGGAUGACGUCAAGUCAUCAUGCCCCUUACAUCCUGGGCUACACACGUACUACAAUGCUACGGACAAAGAGCAGCAAGUUCGCGAGGACAAGCAAAUCUCAUAAACCGUGGCUCAGUUCAGAUCGUAGGCUGCAACUCGCCUACGUGAAGGAGGAAUCGCUAGUAAUC